rnacentral:rRNA from 1 species
UUGCCCCUACGGGAGGCAGCAGUGGGGAAUAUUGCACAAUGGGCGAAAGCCUGAUGCAGCAACGCCGCGUGAAGGAAGACGGUUUUCGGAUUGUAAACUUUUGUUCUUAGUGAAGAAAAAUGACGGUAGCUAAGGAGCAAGCCACGGCUAACUACGUGCCAGCAGCCGCGGUAAUACGUAGGUGGCAAGCGUUGUCCGUAAUUACUGGGUGUAAAGGGAGCGUAGGCGGGAAACCAAGUCAGCUGUGAGAACUACGGGCUUAACCUGUAGACUGCAGUUGAAACUGGCUUUCUUG